AUUCCGCGUGUAGCGGUGAAAUGCGUAGAGAUGUGGAGGAACACCAGUGGCGAAGGCGACUCUCUGGUCUGUAACUGACGCUGAGGAGCGAUAGCGUGGGGAGCGAACAGGAUUAGAUACCCUGGUAGUCCACGCCGUAAACGAUGAGUGCUAAGUGUUAGGGGGUUUCCGCCCCUUAGUGC
rnacentral:rRNA from 1 species